UUUUUUUUUUUUUUUUUUUUUUUUUUUUUGAUUUUUAUCGGAAUAAUAUUUAUUAUAAUCUUCCAGAAAAUGUUGAGUUUGCGUUAUAUAUAUUUUUAUACAAAUAAAAAAAUACAUACAAUUUACACGUAUACAUAGUACACACGAAAAGUAUAUUACAUUUUUAGCUAAGCUUUUGGUAGGAUUUUUUUUUGUUUUUAAACAAUAUACGACUACUGCUUUUAACCGAAAAAUAAAAUCCAUAUUAUCAUUAUAUCAGACUAUAUUUAAAAUUUUAUUUUUUUUACUCGCGAGUUUUGGAAAUAUUAAUGCUCUACCCCCCCAUCAUUUCGGGGUAACACAUUAUUUUAUGGAUGCUAAUAUCAUAAUGAUUAUUUGUUUUUUUUUUUUUUAUUAGACUUCAAUUUAUUAGCAUAUAUAUAUAUGUGUGUGUGUGUGUGUGUGUGUGUGUAUAUUAUUAUAUAAAACUACCUCUACAUUCGAAUUGAGUUUUUUUUUCUAUUUAAGUGCACAGUUUAAAUAUUACCUUGUAUAUUAAUAUUUUUCUUUAUUAUGGUUUUAUGUAAACAUAAUUAGAUACACAUUGUCAAUAACCCCCUCCCUAAAAAAAAAUCAUGACAAACUUGUUCCCAAUCUUUGAAAUAUAUUCUAUUAUCCUGAUCAUAAAACAAUUUUCGAUUUCAUAUCGGCUAUGUAUUGUGUGCAAAACAAAAGAAUUGUCAGUUUUUAACUGAAACAACAUUCCGAGAGGAAUAAUAUCGACAGCAAUAAGGACAUUUUUUUUUUUAUAGCAAUUUAUAAAUAUAUAUAUAUGCAUAAUAUUAUUAUGCUAAUGUUGUCAUUUUUUUAUAUUAUCUUAAGAAAAGUCUAUAAACAAAGCAGCAGCGCUCGGUGCUUUUUUAAAUUUUGAUUUUUUUUUUUUUUUAAGUUUGAUCUGGUAGUUAGGUGGUAUUGUGCAAUAUAAUUCCAAAAAUUACAUUUUUAAAAUAUGCUCUAUUUGUUUUGUUUUGUUUUAUUUAUUUAUUUAUUUUUUUUUUUUUUUUGCCAAAAAAAUAUUUUUAUAUUAUUUCGUUAUAUUUAUAUAUUAUUGCGGUUUAUUGAAAAUUACUAAAUAAAUACAAUCAAUCAAGAAUUACAAAAAAUAAUGAUCGACUGAAGAGAGGUUGACAAUUUAUUAUUAUUAUUAUUAUUAUUAUUAUCAUUAUUAUUAUUAUUAUUAUUAUUAUUAUUAUUAUUAUUAUAUAUAUUUUUUUUUAAACUCCAAAUAAGGCCAGUAAGUUAUUGAGACUGAAUACUAUAAUGAAUAUAGAAAAAAAAAAGUAGGAUAACUUCUCAAUAUUCUGGAAAACAAUUUUUUCCCCUCCCCUAAACAUUGUACAAUAAUGGAAACUUUGUUUCCAUUUCAACCUUUUUUGUUACAAUCAUAUUUUACUUCAGUUAUAAUAUUAUACUUUUAAACGUUUAGGAGUUAUAUAUAUAUAAUUAUUAUUUUAAACAUAUAAUAUAGAAUAAAUAUAUAUAUUUUUGUAAAUUUGUAUAGAAUUUAUUAACAAAUAUUUGAUUAAAUAUUAUUAUAAAUAUAUAUAUAUCAUACAAAUUUAUUAUAAACAUUAUUUAUUUUUGUUAAAAUUUAUAAUAUAGGGGGUACACACUGUAGGUAAUUAGUUUUUUUUUUUAUUAUUAUUAUUAUUAAUUAUUAAUUUUAUUAAACCGUGCAAUUCAUUCACUAUAUAAUAAUAUAUAUAUAUAUAUAUAUAUAUAUAUAUAUUUAUAUAUUAAUAUUAUUAUGUUUUAACAUUUGUUUAUUUAAUAAUAAUAAACACAACUAAUAAAUUGAUUUAACCACAGAAUUUAGUAGGUUAUUUUAAAAGAAAAUUUUCGUUAUUUUACCAUUUUGAAAAACAAAUAUAAAUGUAUUAUACUUUUUUCUUCAUAGAUUAUUAUUUUAAUGAAAUGUUUACACACAAUGACAUUGUAUUAUAGUAUUCAAUUUGUUAAUAAUAUUAUUUAAUUAACCACUGUUAGCUCCGUAGUUAUUAAUAAUUACUAUUGUAUAAUUUACAAGUUUUAUUUUUAGUUCUUAAAUAUUUAAACAUACAAAUUUUUCUCAAAACAAAAAUUUUUUGUUAUGUUGACGUUUCCAUUAUUUACAUAUUUUAAUUUAAAUAAUUUCUACAAUACUAUAAUUAAUUUUUUUCUUCGAAAUUUAAAUAAUUUAUGUUAACAUUUUGUUGUUGCUUUAUUUUAUAUAUUAUAUAUAUAAACAUUGUGAAUUUUUUUUUUUUCUAUUAGUCGUUUUGUUAUGUUUUCCUAAGUAAUAACACUUUUUUUUUUUUUUUAAUUUUCAUUCCUAAAUCAUGUUUUUUUUGUCUAAAGUCACUAAAAAGUUAUGAUUUUUUUUUUUAUAUAUAGAGGUGAGUGGGAUAGACAAAUAUUUUAACAAUAUUACGUCGGUAAAAAAUAGCACACAUCUUGUAAAAUGGUUAGCUAAUUUAAAAUUUAAAAAAAAUUAUUAAUUUAUGUAAUAACUGAAAUGUUAAUUUUAAUUCAAUAAGCAAUAAAUUAACGUUAUUUGAAAAUAACUAAUAUUUUUAAUUUAUAGACACGCCAGUUCUGUUCUUUUUCCUACAAGCCACAAAACUACAAUAUGUGUACAUUGCACAUUUAUAUCAUAUUAAUUAUGUAUAGAUUACAAC
rnacentral:lncRNA from 1 species